UUUCAGCUGACGAGUCCGAAAUAGGACGAAAUGCAUUUCUUGGAU
rnacentral:hammerhead_ribozyme from 1 species